GUCGCGAUGCCAGAGUGGUUUAAUGGGCCAGUCUGCUAAACUGGUUUGCGUCGGUUCGAAUCCGGCUCGCGGCA
rnacentral:tRNA from 2 species